CAUGUGGCUUACAUACUUUCUAGGCAAUUCCCACUCCUCCAAGUUGUGUCCUUAAAGCACCCAACUUCUCUUUCAUCCAUGGCUCUCUUGAACCUCCCAAUCUGAGGUUUUAGAAGCUCAGCAUAGCACAAAACUGAGUUUGUGAUCAUGGGUAUGAAUAAGCCUCACCAUGUGCUUAUCCUGAUCAUCAUAGUGGUGGUCUCAAUUGCAGAGAAACCAUCACUUACAGAAGGAAGAACACUUUCCUUAAUGUCUGGUCAAGUUGCAGGGUACUCAAAGAUUUUUGCAACGCUUGGAGUUGUUUGCAAGUGUUGUGAUGGUGUUGGAGGAGCCUGCACUAGUACAUGGACGAAAUCUUGCAAUAAUCUGCAGUGUUUUCCUUGGAAAUCACACUAGUUAAUUAUUUUUCCUGUAUCUUUUCUUGUCUUGCAUUUGCUGUAUAUUUAGUUCAGAAAUAUCAUAUAAAAUUGAAUAGUUGAAGUCUGCGUUCUGUUCUGAGUAGUGUGAACAGUUUGACUUGGUGAAAAACUGAGAAGUAUCCAUGGUUCUUAAUUUGGAACAAAUCAAUAACAAUAAUAUGUGGAAGUAUUAAUGAUCA